CUACGGGAGGCUGCAGUGAGGAAUAUUGCGCAAUGGACGAAAGUCUGACGCAGCAAUGCCGCGUGCAGGAAGACGGCCUUCGGGUUGUAAACUGCUUUUAUAGGGGAAGAUUAUGACGGUACCCUAUGAAUAAGAGCUUGCUAACUACGUGCCAGCAGCAGCGGUAAUACGUAGAGCUCAAGCGUUAUCCGGAUUUAUUGGGCGUAAAGCGCUUGUAGGCGGUUUGUUAAGUCGAACGUUAAAGAUCUUGGCUCAACCAAGGGAAAGUGUUCGAAACUAACAAACUAGAGAAUGGUAGAGGCAGAUGGAAUUCUCGGUGUAGGGGUAAUAUCCAUAGAUAUCGAGAAGAACACCAAAGGCGAAGGCAGUCUGCUGGGCCAUUUCUGACGCUGAGAAGCGAAAGCGCGGGGAGCGAACGGGAUUAGAUACCCCUGUAGUC
rnacentral:rRNA from 1 species